rnacentral:rRNA from 1 species
AACGAACGCUGGCGGCAGGCUUAACCCAUGCAAGUCGAACGCCCCGCAAGGAGAGUGGCAGACGGGUGAGUAACGCGUGGGAAUCUACCUGAUACUACGGAACAACAGAGGGAAACUUCUGCUAAUACCGUAUACGCCCUACAGGGGAAAGAUUUAUCGGUAUCAGAUGAGCCCGCGUAAGAUUAGCUAGUUGGUGGGGU